rnacentral:rRNA from 1 species
GAUGAACGCUGGCGGCGUGCCUAAUACAUGCAAGUCGAGCGAACAGACGAGGAGCUUGCUCCUCUGACGUUAGCGGCGGACGGGUGAGUAACACGUGGAUAACCUACCUAUAAGACUGGGAUAACUUCGGGAAACCGGAGCUAAUACCGGAUAAUAUAUUGAACCGCAUGGUUCAAUAGUGAAAGACGGUUUUGCUGUCACUUAUAGAUGGAUCCGCGCCGCAUUAGCUAGUUGGUAAGGUAACGGCUUACCAAGGCGACGAUGCGUAGCCGACCUGAGAGGGUGAUCGGCCACACUGGAACUGAGACACGGUCCAGACUCCUACGGGAGGCAGCAGUAGGGAAUCUUCCGCAAUGGGCGAAAGCCUGACGGAGCAACGCCGCGUGAGUGACGAAGGUCUUCGGAUCGUAAAACUCUGUUAUUAGGGAAGAACAAAUGUGUAAGUAACUAUGCACGUCUUGACAGUACCUAAUCAGAAAGCCACGGCUAACUACGUG